AUAUUAAUUGAUAACACAUACUUGCUACAGUAUCGAGGGGUACAUUCGUAAUUCUAUAUACAUUUACGGUCGCUCCUUUACAGAAUUGCCCUGGCCAAGCUUCCUUUUCUUCAAUAGAGUGAGAGGACCAGAAAUUCAAUUGAGAGAGAAGAAACAGAGGAGAAUCGAAGAGAGGAAGCGUCAACGGAAGGGGAUCCGGCAAUCGUCUACGGUCGAGCACCCUGUUUUCGUCACCAUCUCUGUCUUUUGCUCCCUGUUCUAGCGGCUAAGGGUGUGGUUGAUACCUGAGGUUAAGGAUAAUCAUGGACUCAAACCGAAGCAGACCAUGAUGAUGACGACGUUACCGGUAGCGCCUAGUGUUCCAACAGAGCAACGGUGAGCCAAAUUCGUUUACAAAUGAGUACCCUAAUUUGAGAGUUCUUUAGAUGGCGUCUCAUAGAUUGAGAGUUCAUUGUACAGUCGUUCUUCUUCUCAGGUACAGCUUUCUUAUUUUGUUCUUCUCAGGUACGAUUUUCUUUUUUGUUACUCGAAAUUUUCCAACAUUUGCUUCUUAUGAUUCCGAUCAAGAUCCGACCCCAAAUACGAACCCUAACAUUUUUAUCUCAAAUGAUCUGCAAAAUUCCUGCAUCGUUGUAACAGAGCAAGAAAUUAGCCCUAAAGGGAAUUUCGAGGAUCCUUAACAGGUAUGCCUUUUUUUCCUAUAUUUUUUUAGAGUGUCUGAUUUCACUUUCGUAACAAAUUAAGGCUACAAUAGUAGAUUAUAUCAACGUCAUUUUCAAAUUUAGUUGCGUAUAUGUGUUUUCACGUGUUCGAAUUGAGGUAUUUUAUUGUCAAUUGAAGUAAUUUGUGUUAUAAAUGAACCAUGAAAGAUGGAAGUAAACGUGUGUAAUGAUGUAUAUUAUUUAGCCGUACUGCACAAUUGAUAGUUAGGGUUUCUGCUGGUAAUUGUUGAGGUGAUUAAAGUUAACCGAACCGACGAAAGGUCAGCCAAGAAGCCUCGAGGUUCAGCUACGAGGACGAGUGCGCGAAUUGGCAUGACCAAAGGCUAUUUAGAGAGAUGGAUCUGAUGAAGUUGUGUUCGGAGCUGAUAUACAUCCAGGUGCAAGAGGCUAUGAUGAGUUAAGUCGCGAUCGGCUCUUGGCGUGGCAGGAUCGGAGGACGGAAAGUGCGAGUUUCUCUAUUUGCAACCUCUGAUGCAGCCAUGGUGGUCUAAUAGACAGAUCUGAACCACGCUAUAUUAGUCGGCAAAUCUGAGGCAAACAAGUUGGUCCGUUUAUGCUAACAUAUCAUUAUAUUACCUCCUUUUGUAAAUGGAAUUUGUAUCUAUUCAUCUCGAUACAACUCUUUAACUCGAUGUUUUCUCUUUUGGUUACUUUGGCGAGUGUUGAUGCCGUAACGAAUCGAACGAAUACGGGACAAUCUUUUAGCUUCUAUGAUAUGUGAAUGUCAACCCGGCCGCAACGCGGCGGGUGUUACAUCUA